GUCAACGUGCCAGAGUGGUUAAUGGGCUGCCCUGCUAUCGAGUCCCUUGUGGACCAGAAGUUCAGGCAGUGGCUUCGGUCGCGCAAGUUCGAAUCUUGUCGUUGAUG
rnacentral:tRNA from 1 species